GAUGAACGCUGGCGGCGUGCCUAAUACAUGCAAGUCGAGCGAACAGACGAGGAGCUUGCUCCUCUGACGUUAGCGGCGGACGGGUGAGUAACACGUGGAUAACCUACCUAUAAGACUGGGAUAACUUCGGGAAACCGGAGCUAAUACCGGAUAAUAUAUUGAACCGCAUGGUUCAAUAGUGAAAGACGGUUUUGCUGUCACUUAUAGAUGGAUCCGCGCCGCAUUAGCUAGUUGGUAAGGUAACGGCUUACCAAGGCGACGAUGCGUAGCCGACCUGAGAGGGUGAUCGGCCACACUGGAACUGAGACACGGUCCAGACUCCUACGGGAGGCAGCAGUAGGGAUUCUUCCACAAUGGGCGAAAGCCUGACGGAGCAACGCCGCGUGAGUGAUGAAGGUCUUCGGAUCGUAAAACUCUGUUAUUAGGGAAGAACAAAUGUGUAAGUAACUAUGCACGUCUUGACGGUACCUAAUCAGAAAGCCACGGCUAACUACGUG
rnacentral:rRNA from 1 species